rnacentral:rRNA from 1 species
GAUGAACGCUGGCGGCGUGCCUAAUACAUGCAAGUCGAGCGAACAGACGAGGAGCUUGCUCCUCUGACGUUAGCGGCGGACGGGUGAGUAACACGUGGAUAACCUACCUAUAAGACUGGGAUAACUUCGGGAAACCGGAGCUAAUACCGGAUAAUAUAUUGAACCGCAUGGUUCAAUAGUGAAAGACGGUUUUGCUGUCACUUAUAGAUGGAUCCGCGCCGCAUUAGCUAGUUGGUAAGGUAACGGCUUACCAAGGCGACGAUGCGUAGCCGACCUGAGAGGGGGAUCGGCCACACUGGAACUGAGACACGGUCCAGACUCCUACGGGAGGCAGCAGUAGGGAAUCUUCCGCAAUGGGCGAAAGCCUGACGGAGCAACGCCGCGUGAGUGAUGAAGGUCUUCGGAUCGUAAAACGCUGUUAUUAGGGAAGAACAAAUGUGUAAGUAACUAUGCACGUCUGGACGGUACCUAAUCAGAAAGCCACGGCUAACUACGU